GUGGGGGAUAUUGCACAAUGGAGGAAACUCUGAUGCAGCGACGCCGCGUGAGUGAAGAAGUAUUUCGGUAUGUAAAGCUCUAUCAGCAGGGAAGAAAGGCUCGUAAGAGAGAUGACGGUACCUGACUAAGAAGCCCCGGCUAACUACGUGCCAGCAGCCGCGGUAAUACGUAGGGGGCAAGCGUUAUCCGGAUUUACUGGGUGUAAAGGGAGCGCAGACGGUUAUGUAAGUCUGAAGUGAAACCCCACGGCUCAACCGUGGGCUUGCUUUGGAAACUAUAUAACUAGAGUACUGGAGAGGUAAGCGGAAUUCCUAGUGUAGCGGUGAAAUGCGUAGAUAUUAGGAGGAACAUCGGUGGCGAAGGCGGCUUACUGGACAGCAACUGACGUUGAGGCUCGAAGGCGUGGGGAGCAAACAGG
rnacentral:rRNA from 1 species